GAGACUUUUGUCACUUCUGUCAGGUACCAGCCAGUUCCCUUUCUCUGUAGGCAAAGCUACGGCUCUCUGGGCAUUGGCUGCACCCACUUUUCUCUCAGGCUGCUUUGCAGGUGCCUCUUAAUGAUCCAUAAAUAUUUUUAACACUUUGUAUUCUCCUUUCCUUUUCACCCAUCCUCACCUCCUGCUCUCUGAUUUCUACUAGGUGAGUGGGCCUGGCUGUGACACGUGGGCCUGUGUUGUGACAUGGUUAAAUCACAGGCUCUCAAGCAGAGAUUCCUCCAGGACUUCCAGAUCUUCCAAGGGAAGUCUCAGCAGCCAGCUGACACGGCAGAUCAACACCCUGGCUCGAGCAUCAUAGGAUCCUUGAAGAGAGAAAAGCCCAGGAAAUCAGUCUGAUCUGUCUGAUGACACAGUUUAGUCGAGGAGCAGAGUACUCAAGGAAUGUGUCACAGAGCAGCUCCUUCCCCCAGGCCCUCUUUUUCUUCCAGGAACAUGAGAAGAGACUGAUAAAUGGAAAAUCCUUCCUCCCUCCAAAUAGAGCCACCACACCAGGUAAAGCCUCUGUGGCAGGAAAAGGAUCUCAGAUCCUUUGGUCUCCAUCCUCUGUGGCAGAGGCCAGCUGGCAACUUUUCAACAGAGAAAUGCUGCAGCAGGACCACUGCUAACUGGAAAUAUCAAACAUGUCUGUGUGGGUAACUGAGCACAGCCCACAUCAACUGCACCACCGCAGGAAGGUGGCAUUUUGUAAAAAUGCACCUCCAUGCAAAACCUUUAUCUUCUUCUUCUUCUUCUUCUUCUUUGGUGGCAACAAGACACACUCAGGAGUGUAAAGCUACACACUAGCUCCCCCAGCAGCACCACAGACAAAUGUUUGCUUUUACACUCCCUGCUGGAGAUGCAGGAGUGGACAGUGCACUCAGACAACAGAACUGAUUACUCCUGGUUUUGUAAGCAGGUGUUCUUGAAGAAAAGACAUCUUAGAAGAAAAGACAUCUUAAAUGUAAUAGAUUUUAAAUUAUUUGUGCCAACUCUUGCUUUUUUAAUGUGUUUCUCUCAGCAGCACCUACUACUUCAGGAUGUUUGGCUUUUAUAAAGGGUUCUUGGUGCACUCUGGGAUGAAAAACACAAUUGUUUUUCUCAAGGCAACCAGCAGAAAAUAUUUUAGGCUGAGAUCUUCAUAAUAGCUUUACUGCCUUCCUAAAGGAAUAGAUCACCUGAUUCCCUGGAAACAUUGUGGAAAAACCACCCCACUCCAGCAUCAUUUACAUCUGCUUGCCAAUGUAUGCUGUGUGAAGGUAAAGAGGUGAAGAGCUCUUCAAUUUUCAGUGGGUAUUAUUAACCAUUCCUAAAAGAAGAGUUGUUUUCCCUGAAAGGGAUGCAGGGAAGGAGUGUGCAGUUUUUGCCAGAGAGGAAGCUGAAGUGAAAUAGGAUACUACCUUUUUGAGCACUUCAAAGUAUCAGAUGUAAACUCAACUAUAUUAUUUUUACGAAGAAAAAAGUAAACUUACCAUCUUGAAGAGAGAAUGAUAAAAGGUCCUAAAAAAAAAAAAAAAAAGAAAGAAUAUUCAAUUUAAAAUUGAUGAUGUAGGUCUGGCGAGAUCAAAAUGGAGGCAUAAAAUCCAUCAGACUGAUUGAAUUACUUCAGCAGCUGAGUUCACAAGAGGGAAGCAGAAAGUUACAAUUCAGUGAGGCAGCACAGGGCAAAACCAGUUCAAAAUUCUCUGAAGGCCAGUACAAAGGGCUGGACAGAAGCAGAUUAUGCCUAGUAUAUGCUAAGACUUCCCACAUUCUUUGUUAUUUUGUUAUGAUCCUGAUCUUACACCAGACUUCAAAGUUUGGAAGAGCAGGGCUCUAAUCCUCCCAUUCCAAUGCCUUCUGCUCCCUAGAGUCACAUAUGCAACAUCACUAACAGGUCUGAAUGUUCCUCUAAUGGCCCCUAUUUUCUUUGGCAUUCUGGGAAUUCACAGCUUUAGGCAGUAAGGCUGAACUGGCAUGAAGUUCUUUUGGAUUAAGUUAAAACUCAGAAUUUAUGGCCAUCUAUCAAGAUUGAGGGACUUGACUUCUGGAUUGGCUCUUUACCAUAAAAAAAAAAAGAAAAAACAAAUCAAUUCAAUAGAUGGUUUCUAUGGAUAAAUCCAUGAAAAAGAGACCAGUGUUUUUACAACUGUGUUCUCCUCUUUUAUUGCCACUGGACAAAUUCUAAGCUCUUUAUGUGACUACAUUAAGCACCAACUCAGUUGAGCUGCUUCCCUCUCCUACACACAAAUACAAUACAGCUGAAUUUUACACAGAAUCCUUUCAGCCCUCUGGGAACACAAAAAAUGCAGCCAAAGAUGUAGGAGGCUGCCAAAGAGUUUAUGAUUAUUAGUCCUGUAAGCUCCCAAGAACAGUUUGUAUAGUAAAAACGUCUCUAACCUGAGAGUCCUACCCAUGAGAAGUGCAGAAUGCAGAACAAACCAUCCUGAACCAACCAGAAGAGGGACACACUGCAGACUGUUCCCCAGGCUGGCUGGUGGGGUGUGGGAAUUCGAUACACCAGUGCAGAGGGAGGGAUGUAACUGGUUUCCCAAAGCCUGAGUACUGGGAGUGCCCAGGGAUGAACUAUGUGGGCACCAUCACCACCUCUCUGGGUGCAUUUCUGGGGGAAGAGUUGGCACAGAGGUGUCAAAGCCCAGCAGAAGGUGCAGGGCUGUGAGCCUUGAGCAAAAAGCUGACCAAGCAAAGGGCCUUGAGUCUAGAAUAAGGUGAAGCUUGUGAUCUUGUUGCCACAAUUUUCCAUGGACUGACAUAAGCAGCCUCUGGAAGAGGUGAUGGUUUGUGGGCAAUAAACUCUCCUUGAGUGAGGCUCGGGGAGUCAGGGCUGUGACUCAGGUCCUGUCCUGUCUGCCCAGUAUUACCUCUGACACCUCGUAUCAAACCACCCCAAAUAAAUCUGCAGGUACACACAAGCCUUUCAAAAGGUCAGGGAUACACGUAGGUAACAGGUGAUAAACUGCAAAAACUGCUUUUAUGGCAUCUAUGCCAGUUAGUACACUCAAAUUUAAGAUGCAGUUUAGGCCGUACACAUACUGCACAUGCAGGCAGCUGGAAUCCAACCAGCAGUGAUUAGAUUAGUUCACAACUGGUUUGUUUUCCUCCCUAAGUAGCAGUUGUUAUAUUGCAACCUUAUUCUGAAGUCAGUGUUUUGAAUCUCCAUGAAAACUCCAUGACAAGACAACCACCCAUAUGACUGAGAAGCCUUACAAAAGAAGGGAGUCUUUAUUCAGUCUUUGCCAGCUUUUUCUGAGUUGAUGCAAAUUCAAAACCCACUUCCUUAACAACAGAGAGCCUCAAAUCCACAUUGCAGUCAAUGUGGGUAGGAAACCACUGGAAAAUGGGCAUUCUAAAUAUGUUCAGAGCAAAACACAUAUUAAUAAUAAGAAUUUUCAAUGUUUAAUCACCUAUCACA